rnacentral:lncRNA from 1 species
CCAGGGUGGUGCUGUGUGGCCGCAAACAACCCUAAGUAGGGGAUACGUGUGGGGGACAGGCUCUAACACCUUGAUUCCUUAUGUCUGUGUCUCUGCAGUAUGUUUCAUGGAGAGUCUGAGUGACAGCAACCAUGAUGAAAGUGAUACAGGUAAGAACAGCUCUCAGGUAGGAGCCAAUGGGAGAGGGAUCCCGGGACACUUGGGUGACGCCUGCUGCUUGGAGUGUGGGGCAGGUGAGUCUGAAACUUAAAAACAGAAAGAAAUUGAUGUAAAGAUGUUCACCGCCUACUUUAAUAAGGAGAGGGAGCAGAUAUGAGAUGCCUGAAUGUUGGCAUCUGUGCUCACCUUGUGUGGAAGGGUCUCAGUCCAUGGAGCAGAGGGAAGGUCUGGGCACCUGGAGGAAAAACCAGGGUGAUGCUCUGUACCCGUAGUCACCUCAGGGAAGCCGGAGAAACGGGAGGGCCACUCUUUCUAACUCCUUGAUUCCCCUGAUGGUGUGUUUCUACAGACUCAGUGGUGGAGAGCCUGAGCAGCCGCCAGGAUGAGGAGGCUGCAGCAACCCUCGAUGAUGUUGUGGAGGCCGGCGGGAGUGAGAAGACGGAGGAAGAGGCCCUGGCUGGGGCAAAUGAGGAGGAGGUGGGGCCGGGAACUGAGAAGGUGCAGGAGGAGGCUGCCUGCAUUGACGAGGCAGAGGAGGAGGCAGGCCCAUCCCUUGAAAAUGACGAGGAGUCCCCAGCCAGCGACCUGGUUGAGCAGGAAGACCAGCUUGCCCCCAAGGUGGACGGGAUGGACGAUGAAAGCCUAUGUUUCAUGGAGAGUCUGAGUGACAGCAACCAUGAUGAAAGUGAUACAGGUAAGAACAGCUCUCAGGUAGGAGCCAAUGGGAGAGGGAUCCCGGGACACUUGGGUGACGCCUGCUGCUUGGAGUGUGGGGCAGGUGAGUCUGAAACUUAAAAACAGAAAGAAAUUGAUGUAAAGAUGUUCACCGCCUACUUUAAUAAGGAGAGGGAGCAGAUAUGAGAUGCCUGAAUGUUGGCAUCUGUGCUCACCUUGUGUGGAAGGGUCUCAGUCCAUGGAGCAGAGGGAAGGUCUGGGCACCUGGAGGAAAAACCAGGGUGAUGCUCUGUACCCGUAGUCACCUCAGGGAAGCCGGAGAAACGGAGGGCCACUCUUUCUAACUCCUUGAUUCCCCUGAUGGUGUGUUUCUACAGACUCAGUGGUGGAGAGCCUGAGCAGCCGCCAGGAUGAGGAGGCUGCAGGUAGGGAAGAGCACGCAGCUGGGAUCCAGUGGGAGAGGGUUCCUGGGAGCACCUGGGUUCCGCCUGCUGCCGGGAGAGGGAGGAAGUGGGGGAUAGGACUUGGCGCGGGUGG